rnacentral:lncRNA from 1 species
GACGUAUGUGAUACAUUUCCGCAACUUGGCUACAGUGGCAAAUAUCUAGAAGACUGAAAUCUUCUUGCCAAAAUUAAGAGUCAUUUUCACUGAGAGAGAAGACAAAUGGAGCAGACCAGGACUGGGUGGUUCUGUUUUCACGAAGGUCUCUCCAUCAUCAGGCCACCUGCCCAACACAGCUUCCCUGCUUCUGCUUCUGGGCUGCAUGCUUCCUGAAUCUAGCCUGAAAAUUUGCAUGACUCUGACCGUAUGUCCUCAGCUAGAUGUCACUGCUUCCAUUGUAUGCAUUCAUUCAACACACAGUUAUUGAGUACCUGCUGUGUACCGGACACUGGGUUGACUGGGGGUACAGCACUGAACAAUACGGAAAACACAAACCCUGGCCCCUGGAGUGGAUACCCUACCAGGAAACAGACAGCAAACAAGAUAAAUAAGUCAAAUAACUUCUGCCUUGGAGGGGGAGAACUGCUGUGCAGGGGAACAGAGCGGAGAAGGGGAUCAGGUGCUGGAGAGCGAGGGACAGGGGAGUGGAGAUGUUAAAUUAUGUGGUCUGGGAAGGUCCCGCUGAGAGGCAUCUGAGUCAUCUCAAAGGCCAGGGAAGUGAGGGGCCAGGCCAUGGAGGUGCCUGGGAGUUGUGUCCCAGACAGAG